AGCUCGUGUUUUAUUGGUCCCGUCUGUAAUUAUUGGUCCAGGGGACAGAUCCUGCUGCCCCCUGGGCAGGUGAAACACCCCGUUGAAUAAAUAUCAGUGCAAGGAGGGGGUUUCUUAGCAAGUUUAUGCUGUUUGUGUGUACGGACGCUUUCUUACAGCACUAAUACCUUAAGCAAGGUAUGGAAAAGGUUAAACGGAGGCACUAAGCUGAAGGUAUUGAAUUUGCACUGUCUGCAAACUUUAAGGAUCUGAGCAAGGAUAUUAAUUUUACUCUCUUCUGUCGUGGCUGCUCCCUUCUUUUGUUUUAGCCCCAAGACGUGUUUGUAGCACUUGGUUUGCAGGAGCCUCCUCCAGAGCUGGGGAAAGGUACAUCAAAUGCUCAACUUGAUCCAGCGAUUGCUUUCAGUUGCAGCCGGGAGAGCAGCAUUAUACAGUAUAUUUUAAGCAUACUGUGCCAUCAUGGCACAACUUUCUUUUCAGUACUUAUUUGCUCUGAAGUGUAGCAAUUUUCCUGCCACUGACAGCAGUGCUUCAGCUCAAGUUGAUGACAGAGGGAUGUAAUUUGUCUGUUGUUCAUCUCUCGUGUUACUGAAAGAUGAACAAUAGCUAAAGUUCAAGCCUUUGAUGCUACAGUCUGGUGCUAGCUGUUGAGAUUUAUAGGUCUGGUACAUGCUGAACUUCCUGCAGUACAAAUUUCCCAAAGUAGGUCUAAGGAAAUACAUCGGCUUAUGCCAUGGGUGAGGGGACUCACGGGUUGCUUUGAAAUGGUUCUGUUACAUCAGUUCUCUAACUCAGUUGGGUUUUUCUCGGCUACUUCUGAAGAGUUUCAUCGGCUCUUAAGAUAUCUACCAAAUGUUCAGUCAUUUAAGCAUGGCUCACAUGCGUUUGUCAUAGUGUCUGGGAGAUACUUGAAGGUUUUUUCUUUCUGGUUUCAACCCAAGGCCAGCUUUGUUUGUGCGUGUGUUUUCUCUUGAUCUGGCAAGUGUUUUUUUAUUGCCUUAUGCUUUCUUUGAAGGGCUUACUUUGACCAGAUCCAAAAGUCUUCUUCUGACUGCAGGUUUGGCAAAGCAAGGCAAAACAGUAGUACAUGAUGAAUAUAAGUAAGGAGUAAGCACAAACUGCAGCAAAUCAUCGUAAUUAAUAAGUUAGUCUAGCUCUUUUUAAUCUUUUUCUUUUGGAAGUGGAUAAGAAUCUUUCUGCUUAAUGUUUGGUAUGAGAACAUCCCACGUUUCCCUAAAGUAGCCACAAAAAAGGCUGCUGUUCUGUACAAAUUUUUUUGGUACUCUGUCCAGGUUCAUCACUGGGAGCUUUCCAAGUGUGCAGAAUACGAGAACUCCUCAGAAGGCUCCAGGGAUGUUUCUGGAGGCAGCGUUAGGAUGCUAGGCUUUAUUUCUAUACAGAUAAUAGAUGGGGCAAUAUCCCUAUCUUAACGGCUUAAAGCACAGCAGCUAUUAAGACUGAUGACUUCUAAAUACCUUGUUAGUUCUCGUGGGAGUAUAUCUGUUUACUUAGUUUCUGAGGUUAGUUGUGGCUGUGCUACUGUCUGGUGAGCGCCAUCCUCUUUGAUUAAUGGAUCAUCAGAGCUUGCAAGAAAACCUAGGGUUUGCUAGGUGUCUCUUUUAAAAGGAGCACCAAUGUUAAAAUCUUUAAGUGUGAGGGUGAAAAGAACAAUAAAAACUGUACCUACUUUACAGGGUGUUUGUUUUGUGGUUUUUUUUUUUGGUUGUUUUCUUGUUUGUUUUUGUUAAUGGGAAAUUCUUUCUUUUUCCAUUAGAGUUACAGACAUGGAAAGUGAUCAACUCUAGGAGGUACCUAUUAUACCUCCUGGUCAUUAAAGUUGCUCUUAAACACAGGGGAGGCAGAGGUAUCAAACCCCCAAACCUGUGUUCUUAUGAAUCUCCAUAGCAAAAUCUUGGCUAUUGCUCUCCUCAGUCACUCAGUGCUGUAAUUCGCAGUUAUUCUAAAAAAAAUAAAAAAAAAAUUUGAACAGGGCUUUUUAUUUUAUUUUAUUUUUUGAAGAUGGUAAGACAUCCCAAACUGUGUUCCUUAUAACCAACAGGAGGUUUGUGGGAAUAUGAAUGUGCCCCAAGACAAGCUCAAGAGAAGCAGAAUAGAGAUUGGGGUCAGUGAUCUCCUUUAGGCUCUGGGGGCUCUGCUCGUGCUAAAAUGAAUGAAGGGAGCUGGUCUUUCUUUCCUGGAAUGGAAACGGUCUGUUUGGGUCGGCUGCUGGGGAGGAGAUUGCUUGAAGGUGACUCGGGGUGAGUUUCUGUGAAGAUGUGAGAAUGGUGUUUUGUUACACGCAGGUAGAAUUUAGAUUUUUGGAGUAUAAAGUCUAGCACAUCGUCUUGGUAGGUGGUCUUAGAUGCAUUGGGGUGAUGUACUGGAGAAAAUACAUUGUGUAACAAUUUGAGGUGGUGGUUUCGUCCAGUAGCAUGUCAAUUCUUAAAAUAUUUUUACUUUUUGGAAAUUAGACUUUAUUUGCACCGUGUGAAGUAGUGAGAAACUUGCCUAGUCCAGCCUUCAGUGACGCUGAUAAGAAUGCCAGAGGCGAUCCCUUUUGUGUAAACCAAAUGAAGAUGACCCUUUUCAAAACAAUUAGGGGGAAAACAGCAUCUCUGGAGUGCUGCUGUAUUUUGAUGCUUCUGUAAUUGUACAGAAUCUGAAAUGACCAAGUUGGUACUCUUCCUCUGCGAACAUCAGAGGAUUAUCCACACAGGAAAAUGGCUCUUCCAGGCUUUUACAAAUUCACGUGCUUCUGCACUCAGCCAAUUUUAGUUGAUCUGAAAACCUUCAAACUUGCUAGGGACUUAAUCCCUAAUGAGGACAAGUGCCUUUGAUCUGUUCUUAGUGCCAUUUUUAGUUUGGGAAAUAAUCAAAGUUGCAGCGCACAGAUGCAGAGUGUACAUUUUCAGUAAGUUCUCAGUUAAUUGAUAUGCCUGCUGAUUGUGUCUGUCUGUACACUUCUGUGGCUAGGACAGAUCAUUGCAGUUGGACGUGGGGGCCCUGGCGGUGCCAGACACACGCAUUCUGCUGUCCUCGUGCCUUUUUGUUGGGAGCCAGGGGAGUGUGGAAGGACAAAGCCCAGGGAUGCUCAGGAAUGUGCGGGGAUGUUCAGGGGUGCACAGGGUGAGGGCAAAAUAAAUCUAUUUAGGUGAGGCAAAAGGAUGAAUUCUGGCUUUCGUUCUGUUUCCUUAUCCCAGAGAGCUUGUGGAAGCACUGGGGCAGUUUCUGGUCUAAUAUUCAUGUCUAUCAUGGGGCUCUGUUUCACUCCCUCCUCCUUAAGCACCCAAAUCCAGCAUCUGGCAAUGCUGUCAUUUGUUUUAGUCUGUGGGUUGUCUAUUUUUUUUUUUAUUUAUUUUUUUUUUUUGAUACAGGGAGUGGGAGGAAGAGAAGGCUGUGAAGUUGUGACUCUUGUGGUUGGUAGCCCUAAUGAAGGGGCUGCAGCUCGCGGACUUCCCCGUAAAUUGGCGCCUGUGUAUGCUGUUACUACUUCUGCAUCUGUCUGUCAGAAAUGCAAUGCGUAAAUGAAUGACUUCCUUAAAACACCACAGUAUUUUAAGCUCCUCUGUCUGUGUGUGUGUGUGUGUCCGUUUACGUAUGCUUAAGAUUAGGGAUUGCAGGAGGAAUUUCAAGAGUGACUUUCUCAACCCUUCAGCUGAACCCUGAGCUUUUAGUAACUGCAGUUACAUAGAUAAUGUGUGCUUGGGUGUGUAUAUAUGCUGCUUUCCCUGCUGUUGAUUUUUCUCUGUGUAUUUCUAAUAGGCUUCAAAAGUGGCAGGGAGGAGGUGCUCAGAAGCAAGACAGCAUGCUCCAUGUGGUGUUAUUAAGGUCUGAAAGAGUAGUCUUGAGCUGUUACUCUGAUUUUGGGUUACCAGCCAUGCAGCCCAUGCCCAUCUUGCUGGUGUGAGCUGUUGUUUUCAUGGGUGAGGUGCCUGCAGCACACCUGAAGGAAUGGCCAACUGCACCAAAACUGUUGCAUGCAAUCAGUGGCUAAUUACCAAGCGUCCUCUGGCUCAAAGCUCAUCUGGAAAUGAAGCAGCAGAAGUGUGUGGGGGGAAUGGCAUACAUGGGUUUGGCACAAAACAGGAGGGGAAAUCCUCUGGUGUUGCCCUCCCCACCUGGAUUCUGCUUGGGCUGAGGCUUUUCUCCCUCCGAGUGCCUGCAGGCUGGGAGCAGGUGGGUUGAGGAGUUGCCUCCCUUCUCGAUGCAGCCUUUCCUCGUACCAAAAUCAUGCUGCCCCCAAGCGUGUGAGUUGCCCUAAGUGCUGUAGUUAACCCACGUGGCUCUGAUGCCAGGCUCAGAGGACCUAAUUUUGAUGGUUGGGGUGGCAAGCUGGAAGGUGUAGAUGGGAACACAGAUGUCGUAACAGACAAACCUACAGGCUGUAGCGUGGAUGAUGCGUGAAUGUCAGAUAAAGAAGGAACCUGCCUGAAUUAGUUGCACUUUUGAGGGCUUUCCUUCAUUUCUAAUAGUUUUAUUACUAACAGCAUUCACAGUGUCUUCUUGUGUGCUGUUCCUUUUGUCGUCAUCUUGGAUAUCACAGGUAGCUAGAGAACUAUUGCAGACCAGGUUUGCUUGGAUUGGGAGAUGAGGCUUUCUGUGGGCUUUUAUUGAGUCUGUGAGUACUAGUUCCCAUCUUUGGUUUAGAAAACGUGUUGCCCUUUUUCUGUUAUAACACCAGUUUCUAGAAGCUCUCCCUAGACCCAGCUAAGACCAGGUUCACAUUUCUACUUGAUUUUUUAAAAAUGCUUUUUGGGGGAAAAAGGUAAUAAGGUGCUCUAAGUGUGUGGGUUUUGGCAAAUAACUGGCUGAGGAAGAACUGUGUAGCCUCUCGGCAUCAUUUACGCCUUCUUUUUCUAUUGCCUUUUAAUUCGGUAAUGCUGAAGUAACUGUUUUGCUGAUUAUAUCUCUGAAAAUAGAGCUUCUCUGAAAAAGCACGCUCUCUCUAAAAAUACACGGUAGUGGCAGACACGGUCGCGAGGACUGCAGGGAGCGGAGGAGCGGCCGUUCUCACGGCGGAUGGGGUCACACACAGCCCUGCAGCACUCCCUUCUGUACCACUGGCCAAAGUCGGUAGGAAUGAGAUCUCUCCCCAGCACAAAUGCUGUACAAGUUUAUAUUCUUUAGCAGGAAUUGCAGUGCAAAUCCCUCCUCGCUCAGCCUUUGACUCCAGCUCUUUUGCCAAAGUGCUGCUUGAAAAUAAAACAGGCAGAGUGGGACUGACGUGGGUUUAGGUGUCAGGCUGAAAAAAAAAGAAAAAUGCUGCUGGAAAAUCAGCUUUUGAAGCUGUUGCAAAUCCAGAGCAGCAUGUGUAACGUAGUUAAGGUUUGACUUUUAAGAAACAGAGACAACUUUAAUGUCCUCUCAAAACAGUUGAAAUUUUGCUUUCUUUGUGGGGUAUUUGACACGCUUCUCUAACAGUCUAAUUUCUGUAUUUUUUUUUUAAUCUCUAGAAAACCUUGCAGAUUACCUUAAAAUAAAAUAAAUUAAGCUUUGUUUUUGAAAUGCACCUGCACUUGUCAGCUGCUUUGAAAUGAAACAUUCCCAGUCUUUUUGGUGUUGCUUAAGGGGGAACUGCAUACAAAUUUUUCCAUUAAAAGUACUUCUGGACCUAAACCGCGCUCUCUUUUUUUUUAGGCAUUGGAAAGUCUCAGAAGUGAGGAAAGCCAAAACAAACAAACAGACAAAAAAAAAAAAAAAAGCCAGGUUCAUUUUAACCAGCAAAUACAAAUUUGUUGAAAUGGGUAUCCAAUUUAAAAUGCGGUGAUGUAAAUAAUACAAAACGUAGCAUGAAUGAAUGUGCUGGUGCAUUGCAUUGGGGAGUGGAAGUAGCACUAAGCUAUAAUGUACAUGGUGAAAGUAUCCACGUAGCAGAAAGCAGGAUAACCAAAUGCUUUUUUCUAAGUUUACUGUGGUAAUUCAUUAGACAAGGAUUCCUCAUGCCCUUGCUCAAGUGGAAUUUUAACCAGUUUUGCUCAGUGUGCUGAACUACCAGACUGCUAACAGGUGCUUUCAGGAUCAGCAAUGUAAGAGUGGGUUAGGUUUGCAGUGCAGGGCGAUGAUAUGGCAAGUAACUGUGGCAGUCAUGUGAAAUGUACAGAGAGGCUUUUAGAAGCUUGUUAGAAAGCUUGGUUAUUUCAGCAGUUGAAAGAUACUAAAGCAUCAGGUGAAAUCCAUCAUAUGUCCAGGUAAAGAUACAAUAGCUGAUGAAUAAGUGGAUCUGUUGUAGAUUUCACAAGGGCCCUGGCCACCUUUUAGCUAAAACAGAAACAAACCAAACAAAAAACCCUUCAGUGCUGCUGUCUGAGCAGCGACCGCAGAGCCCUGCCUUGGGGACGUCGGGCACUGGCGGCGAGGCAGCCCGCGGCUCCCUGAGCCCCCUGGGUUUUCCUCCAGAACUGUAAACAAGUGCUGUAAGGAAAAACCAAAGCGUUGCCAUUUCCCUCGCACACAAACACUCUUUAUAGAAGCCGAAAAGCUCCAAAGCAAGCGUGCUGUCUGAAAUUGUUUUAUUCUCUUUUAAUGGCAGUGGUCCGAAGUAGCUGUUAUACCUGAAUGGGGGAGGAGAGCGGGGAUGAGCCCUCCGACCCAUCUGGAAGCCAGCAAGUGGGGCUAAAUAACUGUGCCAGCUGGGUUUUGGAGCUAGGACGUAGGAAUUUUGUGGUAAGGAAAAGAGCUGGAAAAACAUUGAGGUAGGAAAUGAAGAAGGGAGGGAAAGCAGGGUGAGAAAGAGUUACCCAUCUUCUCAUUACAUCAGGUAGGAAACAGAUUCAUUUCUGUAGGGCCAGCUGCUGGGUGAGUUUGGUGGGUUCAAGGGUGGGAAAUAAUGCUUCUCUUUGAAACGGGGCUAGAAUUAGGAAAUAAGAAAAUUUGCCCUUCUUAAUAGUAAAUAACACAUGUAGAAAGGCACUGAAGCACAAUUUGAUCAAGGAAAAGAGAGAGCUGAGGAGUGGCAAAGAAAAAUUGUGUAUUUUCUUUAGAGCAGAAGUGCUGGAGCAAAAUGUGAAAGAGUGGUAGUGGUUGGGUUUGGGGGCACUGUGGUCUUGGUUUUCUUCAACUUCCAAGUCAGUUAAAAGAAACUGAGUGUGGUGUAAAUUAAAUACAUUGUAUUCUUGAAUUUGGAAAUUGAAAUCUAAGAGGUUUUAUUUCCUUAACCUUAAAAAAGGAGACGUUUACACCCGUGGUUGUCUAUAGAGUUCUGUUUCAGAGUCAGUGUUGGUUCUUGGGUGUGCAUCCCAGAAGAGAUCCACUGUCAGCACUGCAGUAAAAUGGCAUAUAAGCACUGUGUUUGUUUUUAUUCCUAAUGGACAAUAAACUAGUUUCCUCAAGCUACUCGAAAUACUCCUUGUAAACUAAAGUGUCCAGAUCAAUUUCUCAUUCACAUCGUAUUAAAACUCGGUGAGGAAGUUGGGAAAACAUGGUUUUGAUCAAAGUGCUGCAUGAGCUGGCGAUCUACUCCAUUAAUCUUUAAGCUACUUCAUAAAAUUGCUGCGGAGAACCCAGUGUGUUCCUGCUUCCAGAGGAAGCUUUAUCCCACCUGGGUGCCACACGGGCUCCCGCAGCACCACGAUGAGAUGGGAGCUUUACUGGGACCAGGGUUGGGGUCUUGGUUCUGCUGUAUUUAUCUGGAUGACGGUUUCCUAGUGAAAUACCAGCUUUGUUAAAUUUCUACUAGGAAGAGCUGUCUGCAUCUAAAAUUACUUGUGUACGCUGGCCUAUGCUGUGUGUUAAUGCCCGUGUUUUCAUUGCCUAGUCAGUUCAUGCUAUAUAUCACAACUUCAGGUGCUUUGGUGGUGUGCUUAAUCAAAAUGCGUUGUGUUUUCCCCCCUAAAGAAACAAGUGCAAGGGCACAGCUCUGAGACAUCAGGAAUUCCUUGGUGGAUCCGGUGGUAGAUGGCUGGUUGCUAGCAUUCAGCACGUAAUUCUUCAGGAGUAGUUAAGCUGCUCUCAUGCUGUAGCCCAUUUUUCAUAAACCCAUUUUAAACUUUUAUACAGUGUCUUUUCAGAUCUCCCUUCUAUCAAGCUUCUGCCUGUGCAUCUUAAUGAGCAGAAGACCUCAGAUCAGUGUUUAAAUCAUCUGGUUCCCUCCGUUAUGUAUGUGGCUGUAUCAAGAUAUAUAAUCACGCACUCUAUUAUAAACUUACUCCAGGAGAGGUGUUCAUCUGAUCAGCAGUGCUUUCGGCUGGCAGCGGCAGGCAGAUGCUUUGAGUGCUGUUGCAAAUCAGUAGUAUUGUUUCGGAGACGCUGUCGGAUGUGCUAUUUCUGUCGUGCCGUGAGAAUAAAAGCUCUGUGUCUUGCUGGUGGGGGAAAUGAAACACGCGAGAAGCGGCCAACACAACAUAAAACCUCCCGGAGUGAGAAGUGUGCAGCCCGUGUGCCGGCAGGACCGUCCCGUAAGGGUGAAUGGUGUGCUUCAAGGCAGAGGUGAGGGUGCUGGGGAUGGUGUACCAGCUGAUUUGAGGCUGAAGGGAGGAGAUGUACUGCUGAGAGAGGUGAUAAAAGAUGUUAUCAGGAUGCACCGGCAAUUUUAGCCCAAAGUGUGGAAGGAGGCCCUCAUCCAAAGUAACAUGAAGCUGUUAGUCGUUCUUAAGGCAGGUUUUUUGUGACUUAGGGGAAAGGUGGUGGUCUCAGUCAGGACCCUAGGGGAUGAGUGUGGUCAACGCUUCCUCCUCCUCCUCCCCAGGCAGGGGGAGGAAGAGCUGCCUUCAUCCCCAGAGGUGAGCUGCUGCUGGACAAAGCACGCUGGUGGCAGUGGUGCGUUGGCUGCUGGGGCAGUCUGCUGGGCUGGGAACGUGUUGUGGAAAAGCAGCAGACUCCUGUACCAAUUUAAGUGGAAAAACAAGACUAAUGGCCAAAUUUGUCGUCUUCAUGUUUUUCACUUGUUGUGAAAAAUAGCCCUGUGCUUCACCAUCUUCCUGGCUUUACCAUCUCCUUAAUACAACUGCUCUGACUUUUACUGAUGGCUUCUUGCGCCUAAUCAGUUCUUAAUGAAGCAGAGGGGUGUAUUUUAUUCUGUCCUGCAUGGGCUUCCUUUUGUCACUCUUUGUUUUCCCUCCACUCCGUUUCCACUCCAGGCUAAAAUUAUUUCCAGCUGAGAAGGGCUGGAUGCGUGUUGUUGCACAGCAAAAUUGUAAAUGGCCCUACAGAGUUGCUUGCAAACAGCAGAACUGAUUUUCCCUCUGUUUCUCACCUCACGUGCAUGCAAGGAAGGGUCAUCUGGGGUCAGACCCAAAGGCUGGCUGUCCUGGUGCCCUGUCCCCAGACCGGUGGCCAAGAGCAACCUCUGUAGAGGAGGGUUGGAAACGGGCAAGGGGGAGAUGCUUGUGGUGGGCUCGGAUGCUUCUCGUGUGGGUGCUGUAAAAAGGCUUGCCAGCUCCCCUCUGAGGUGUAAGCGGUGUGGCAGGAGGAGGCUAAUCAUUAUAGAUCAGAUAUUAGCACGAUGCUGUUGGGUCUGUGGGGUGAACAGACGGACCCCUUUGCGCUUUCUUCUCGAACUGUUUUGAUGGGAAUGUUGAUUAGAGACAAGGUAAACUUGUUUGUACUUUAUUCAUUAAUGACAAACUAUAAGCUGCCCUGCCUCCCCUCCCCACAGGCAAGGCACUUGAAGAAAAGCCAGGCAAUUAAAGUACUUAAGACAGUAAUUACAGUCAAAUAUACAACAAAAAUAAAACCAUUGCACAGGAUUUUUUUUUAUGCUUGGUUUUGUUCUCUUCGUUUAUUAAACCACAACUCUUGCCUCACGGUUGAACAGGAAUGUCUCAAUUGGUGGCACCAAGGCGUGCGACAAGCUUGCCUCGGUUCACUUGGGUGUUUAAUAGCCUCCCUGAAGAGGAGCUCUUACCGCUGAGGUCUUCAUGGCUCUGAAAUCUGCUUUUUAGAUGUAUCUUCAGGUAUAUGAAGCUGGCACACCCCCGACUCUUAGCACUGAUCGGUAGGGGCAUGAAAGCAAAAGUCUCGUGGAACUUUUUCUUUCUCAUUUUUCUGAUUCUCACUGUAUGUGGAAGAGAUUUCCGAGGUUACUGCGAUGCUUAGGAGGGAAGACUGAAUUGCUUGGCUUCAAAUGUUUUAAUUUACCCGGUGCAUUUUAACAUUCAGAAAUAAGCAUCCACAAACUCGGGUUGUUGUGAAUCUAUCUAAUGAGUUAGCAUCGUACAGCAUGAGCCUGCGUGUGUGCCAGCUGAACGUAUUUUAAGUGGAAUUCUUAGCAACUUGAGUAUUCCAGAUAAAGUGCGCUUUAAAGAGAGAGAAACGUAGCAGUAAUGAGAUCCAGCUGGUGUACAUAAACCUUUCACAUUACAUUACAUAAUUAAGUUGGUAAGUAAUGUAUGGGGAAAAGUUCUUGUUGCUUAUUCUUUUGUACUGGAGUUUUACAAGGCUGUAUAAAUACUGUAAGUAUUUAAUGGGGGAAAAGCAGGAUUAAAAGCAAACAGCAGAAGAUGGAUGGUAUAAAAACGUCAUAAAACAAUCGUGCAGUAUUACCCUUGUGAUAUUUAAUAUCAAAUGACUGAAACUUAACAGUAUUCUCUAUGUUGGAAGCGAUCUUUUAAGAUCAUUUUCUAAUUGAUCGGUUUGAUUACCAUGAUUGGUUUAAAGGUGAAUUCCUUUCUGCUGAACAAUAGCAGAGGACGCAUCCCCCCGAGGGAUGUUUUGGCCAGGCUUUCUGAUUCAGUGAAAUCUACACCGCUGUGGUAUUCAAAGCAGGGUACAGGCUCAUAGGCUCCUUACCAUAACUUAACAACCUGUUCUCUUUUUAACAAACUGUAAUUAAAGAAACAUAAACUACAUCUUCAUUUAGUUCGACUGCAGAGCAUGGGAGAGGAAUGUGGGAAGGAAUUCUUCGUACCGCUGUGAAUGUAGCUGCCUACCUUGCAGUUGUUUCAUAAACAUCCUAGAAAGCUUCUGAAAAAUACCGAAUGUGGAAUGUGCCAAAAAUGGUUAAAACGCUAGACUCCGUCCUCUGGCAGGCAAGCCCUGGCAAAUCUUCUCUUGAUGUUGCUGCCCUCGGCUGCCCUCCUUUCUUUGCUGGAGCUUUUUUGCUCCCUUGCGGAGUCAGCAAAAGGUACGACGGUGUGCCCAGGCUUCAGCAGCUGUGCUGAGCCUCGCUCCAUGGCUUUUGGGGGCCGUCAUUGUCACCAGUGCCAUACUGCCUGGUCGGGGACCCAGCAGGCAGGUGGUCCUGCUUUGACAGCACCCCUGGGGAGAGGGAUGUUUGCAAGGAGCAGUCCCAAAAUGCCCAGGUGUUUGCUGAGCACUGGCUGAGCUGGAGCCCUCAGCUCUCGUCAUUCAAAAAGGGUGGUCAGGCAGGUAUGGUACCGUAUUUAAAGCUUAGCCUGUUGCUCUUGUGAAGAGUGUAAAUUAGGAUAAUUGCCCUGUUUUUAAAUAAUGAGACAAUCUAUUUGAGAUGUCUCAAUACCUGUUAACCAGUUAAGAUGACAACUUAAUUUCCAGCUGCUGUUACCGGUGCUGGCCUCGAGCUGCUUGGGCUGGGCGCUGUGCUAUAACGUGAUGUUGCCUACCCCAGAAGGAAAAGGGAGUUUUGAACCAUACAUAAACUUUCACUUGCAUGAGAGUUACUCAGUGAGAGGUGAAAGGAGCACUCGGGAUAUAAGCGAAUACAAAUAUCUUCUGGUUUUGUGGGUUUGUAAGUUCCCAUAAAUCAGUCGGCAAGUUCCCAGUCCCUGUGACAACCACAUGUCCCAUGCUCUGACAUCGCAGCCACCACAAAGCCCUGGCGAAGGGUGCAAUCAGCCCGUAACGAGAGUGGCAAGUCAGAUGAGUGGCAUUUAAAAGGCGGGGUGCUGUCCUGCACAUUUCUGACUUGUUUUUUUUUUUUUUUUUGCAGACUGUCGGUGUACCGACAGACUUUUAAAGUGUCCUUGCAGGUUGACAAAGCAACAAAAAUCCACAGUGGGACUUUCUGCAGAAAAAAAAAAAAGGGGGGUGGGGUGCUGAAAUCCUUUAGUGGCUUGUUCAUAAGGAUUUGGAGUGACUCGGUAUUUUGCGCUGCUUGCUUUUAAGGAAAUGUUUGUGUUAAUGAGCAUUUACUGCGAAACACAGAAAAGAAAGUAGCUAAAAGUGAGGAGGGGCUCAGCGAGGCCGGUCUCGUGGCUUCUGGACCUGCCAGGCGGUGGGAGCAGCAGCCAGUGGUGCUGGUUGGGAUGUCCAUGAACAUCCAGCACCUCAUGGGCUCGUGCUGCAUGAAAUGGCCUCACCGGGGGCUCACCCCGCUGGGGCUCCCUGCCCAAAGACCCGGGCUGACCCCACUCGGCUGGAGAGCAGGGGGAUCGCGGCGCGAACAAGAGCCGCUUUGUUCUGCAUCCUGGAUGCACUCUGAUUAAACCCCAUAGUCAUGAGGAUGGAUUUACUGGUGCGCUCUCGCUCUUUUUUUUUGCAUUGCACAACAGCACAAACACCCAGCGAGCUAGCAGAUUUAAUCCGUGUUCCCUGAGGAUUGUGAAAUUCUGGCUGUGUAUAAAUUUCCUGGCUGAAUUUGGAGCAUGAUUUAUGAAGGGGACCUUGCCUCUUGUACAAAGUAGGACUUCCCUUCCUGCAGGACCGCAAGGCAAAUGUUCUCAGUCUGCAGACUUCUUCAGUCUGCUAUCCUUAACAUGGUUUUGGUUCAUCUUCCCUGCUGCAUGCUUGCUUACUGAAGCUGUUUAACUGAAACGCAAAAUAAAUUUAUUUUCUUAAGCGUUUGGGUCUAGUGUUGGCUUACAGGAAAUGCAGAGCAAUGAAUGCAUGUUUUGCACUGUUCAGGAGCUUUCUAAAAUACUCAGAAGUCUGCUGUGUUUUUUUGGUUUUGUUUUUUUUGUUCUGUUUCCUCAAUCUGCUGUUAUAAGUGCACUUUCUCUUGCUAAUCUGCUGCCUGAAAUACUCUUUGUUCAGGAAGGCAAGUCUAUUUCUGUUGUAAUCAGGGCUAAGAAUUCAGCUGCAGGGUCACUCUGUGGUACUGCAGAGUUCACUGACCACGUUUUGCUGCUGGCAGUCCUAGCUUUGGCCCCUUUACACAGAUCAAUGCCAGGCUAACCCCAUUUAUUGCUACUACUGAAUCAAAACUCUGCUGCUCCUAUUUAAUUUAGCUCAAAAUAGACAUAAUGCAAACAAGCGUUAGCAUGGCAAAAGAGCUAGGAGAAGGGGGGGAAGAGAAAAAAGGCAUUCAGUUGUUUGGGUUUUGGUUUGUUGUUUUUUUGUUGUUGUUGUUUUUGUUUUAAUUCAAAAUACCAAAUGGUGCCAGGCUUCAGAUGGGAGGAAUUAGCUUGCGCUGCAUCGUUAGGCCCUUUAUAAAAAACAAUAGUCAUCAUUGAUUGUAAUCUGCACGCGAGUAUUAGAGUCUAUCUGGCUGUCUUCAGUUUCCUUUUUGUGUUUAAAAGCCUUUUCUGGUGUCACUGCUACUGCUUCAGCUUCGCCAUGCGUUCAGCCUUCUUCUGGGUGUUGAGUCCCAGUGAUGCAUCCCUGGUGUGCUUCCUUUUGGCCCCACCAGGCGAGCCUCCAGCCUUACUGCUGGGUACCCACCACCAGCUACCCCUGCUUCAGCCUGCUAGAAACCUCCAGACUUGCUUGUGGUCAAGUGAAAUCGCUGUUGGCAGGAGUAUUAUUCUCCAUGGAGCUACUCGGUGCUGAGCCCUUUGCAAGGUCCGUCGCGGUGAGGUGGGUCACAAGGUUUCGCUGAGGCAGGCGUGUGGCAGGUAAGAGUGCUGUGGCUGCUGGGCCUCUUGACAGAAAAAGGUAGUUUUUUUCUGUACCUGUGGAUCACUUUGGUACGAGAAAAUGUUGGGAUUGUCAGGACGUUGCUUGGAGUCGAGAUGACAGGACCUUUACAUUGUGGUUGGCAUCCCGCCACAGUUUCCAGCUAGGACUGGGUGUAUAAAUUCCACCGCCACACCUCAUUCCACACGGCUUCGCAGAUCUGUGGGGGAAGGCAUACCCUCACCGCCUGCUGUCUUCUGGGCUGAAACCCUGUUCCCUCUGCGAGGCAGCACGGGUGGAAAUCCAGAGAUUUGGGGUUUCUGCUGAAACAUGAGGCAGUCUCUCCACAUGUCCUCCCACACUGCCCCCUCUGCCCAAACUAAUCCCCUUCGGUUCUGCGUUCAGCAGAAAUCAGGUGCCCAGCCCAGGUACGUCUAUAACGGGGCCACAGAUGACAGCUACAAGACGAAUCCAUAAUUUAGGAAUUGUUGGUGAAGUUAUUUUCUGCUCCCUGCUGCUAGAUGCUCAUCGCAGGACUUGUGAAACUUUUCCUGUUUGUUCCAAGUGCUCUUGCUCGUGUCUGUCACUUACAAUUCAUCUGUUCCUGAAGGCAAGCUUUUGUUCCAAAGGGGAGCCCAAAGCCUGACAACUUAAAUGUUUUUUGUGUUUCACCACCCUUCUCCACACUCUUGCAGAUUAAACGCCGCCUCCUCCAGCCUACCCUUUUCUCUUUUGGCAGGGCUUUGUUGCCCCAACAGGGGAUGCUUUGUCUCCCCUCUCCCACUCCCCAGGCACACUUGGCGUCCCUCUGCCUUCUCGCCUCUCACAGGCACUGCAGCCUCCCUGCUUCCCUCCACUCUGUGCCGGGAGGGAGCUGCUGGUGUCCUGCACCGCUUCCAUGGCCUUUCCCCCAUAUUUUCCUGCAUCCAGAGAAAGCCCUCUGCAGGUGCUAUCUUCCAGACUUUGUCUGGAACCGCUCUUUCAAGCCUUGAGAUGUGUCACUGUGGGUGACCAUCCCCUCUUCAGCCCCUUCAGCUGCUGAGCUUUUCUCUUGUGAUGGUUUCUCCCACUUUUCAGGUGUCUGGAAUGCAGUGGUUUGGUUUGCUUUUUCACGUAAAAGCAGUACUUUUGCGAAGAAGGGUUAUUUUGCUCCCUCUGAUUAUUGCAGGGGUAAGGAAGCGUGUCCUCUGUCCUGGCCACUGAACAUCAGCAGCCUGCCAUGUGCUGCAUCGGGUGGGCACCACUCACAGCAUCCAGAGCUGUAUUCCCAUGUGUGCCUAAGGAGAAAGCCUCAUGGGGUCCAUCCUCUCUAAAGAAGGGACAGGGUCUUAAUCAUUGUUUGCCUUUGUUUGUUUUGGUGUGUGGUUCAUUUCUUCUUUUUUUGUAUGUGUGUGGUUUUGUGUGUUGUGUUUCUUGUUUUUUUGUUUGUUUUGGGUAGAGGUAAGUUUUUGUUCUUUUACUUUGUGUAGAAAACAGUUCCUUAACCUAUUUUUUUCCUUGGAAAUCAAGCUGAUUUUGCUCUAGUGAUUACAUUUUAGUAACAGAUCCCAAAUUACUCAGUCUUCUAAGCACUUAAUUAUCAUAUACUCAAACUGCUGUCUUAGACAUUUUGAGAUUCUCUCAGAUCUUGUGGUCUCGAUCCUUCCCUAAAAUUUUCUUCUCUAUUACAGAAGGCAGUGUAGUUCGGAGGUGUCAGUUUGGGACCUGAGCUGUUUAUAAAGGAUGUGUCCCCUUGUUGACAUGCUCUUACUGGUUACUACUAGUGGUUGCUACCACUCUAGGUAGUGGAUUUGUUUCCUGCAGCUUUAGUUAGAUGAAGUCUUCCCCCAAGACUAACGCAAGAUUUCUUCAAGUAUUGUUUUGAAGGAGAAUAAUUUCACAUCAAGCUUACUGCCUCAUCAGUGGUUAAAUUAGGCUAACCUCUUGGCAAUGUCCAACUUCUCCGAGAACCCAGUUACAGAACAGCCUACCAAAGAGAAAUUUCAUACCUGAGUGGUUACCACACGGUGGUUGAACCAGCUCUGGCAAGUGGCAGUGAAUGUCCUUAGGUUGUCUAACGUAGCUUCUGCAUGUUUUAAAAAUGAGGUAACUGUGUGUGUGUGUUAUAAGUCUGGCUUUCAUUUUCCUGGUGAAGCUGCCCAUUGCCCUUUUUCUUUCGAGCUGUCCCAGGAUCAUCUCAUUAGGUCUUUCUUCUGUGUUGUUGGCUUCUGCCAUAGCACAGCUAUCUUUAGCAUGACUUUGUUAACGUGUCUGUAUUUCUUGCUUGUCAAUUUUAUUGAAACGUUCACUGAACAUUUGAGGCAAUAAAAGCCAGUAGCUAGAGAAAGUAAGAUAGGCAUUUCUCGUCGAUUAACCAAUGUCGUCUUUAUGCUUCUUUAGACACUUUCAGUUCCUUUUGUUGUCCAAGCACUGGCAAUUCACGUGUUAGUAAUAACCAGAGAAGCACAAAACCAGGCUCAAACAGAACAUGCAAUCCAAGCUAAUGUAUGUUAAGAUACCAAAAUUUUGACUGGUGUUCUGAGUAUGCGUAUGUGUUCUGUUGUGGUGUAGGAUCAAGUUAAAGCCUUUUAAUAUGAAAUAAAAAAUUUAAUGAACUAGUUAGCAGCUGUCUAAAACUAGUUAGCCAGUUGCUAAUUCAUGAAGUUGGCAGUGGUGAUGGUGGCUUCUGUUAGCAUAUAGCACAUGGUUAUAUAGAUUCGUGGUUAAUCUACCCUUGUGGGCAAAAAAUGCUAAAAUUAGCUGCCAAAUGGAUGUUUUUAUCAUAUGAGCUACAAUGACUACUUGGAGAAAUCCCUACAGGUUUGAAAACAAUAAUAAUCAAAACUGUAUUUCUUAGCUUUGGAUCUGAAAGUAUCUUUUACACAUAAUGGAAUCAAAUGAACCAAAUCUAAAGUAUGCUUUGUUCCUAUGCCAUACGGUUGCUGCCUUGCCAAGCACGCUUCUCGCCUUCCAAAGCAGGAUCCUGCGUUCUCCUCUCCUCAAAUCCUGCCCUUCACGUACCCAAAAAAGUCACUGCUUGAGCCUGAUAGUUGCGUGCACGCUGUUCCUUUUCUCCCUUCAUCUCGAAGUGUUUUCCCAGCAUUUAAGAAAACCUCAAAAAAAAGAGAAAAGAGGUU